GCGAGGGUGGUAUAGUGGUGAGCAUUGCUGCAUUCAAAGCAGCUGACCUGGUUUCGAGUCCAGGCCAUAGCA
rnacentral:tRNA from 1 species